GAUGAACGCUGGCGGCGUGCCUAAUACAUGCAAGUCGAGCGAACAGACGAGGAGCUUGCUCCUCUGACGUUAGCGGCGGGCGGGUGAGUAACACGUGGAUAACCUACCUAUAAGACUGGGAUAAUUUCGGGAAACCGGAGCUAAUACCGGAUAAUAUAUUGAACCGCAGGGUUCAAUAGUGAAAGACGGCUUUGCUGUCACGUCUAGAUGGAUCCGCGCCGCAUUAGCUAGUUGGUAAGGUAACGGCUUACCAAGGCAACGAUGCGUAGCCGACCUGAGAGGGUGAUCGGCCACACUGGAACUGGGACACGGUCCAUACGCCUACGGGAGGCAGCAGUAGGGAAUCUUCCGCAGUGGUCGAAAGCCUGACGGAGCAACGCCGCGUGAGUGAUGAAGGUCUUCGGAUCGUAAAGCCCUGUUAUUAGGGAAGAACAACUGUGGAAGUAACUAUACACGUCUUGACGGUACCUAAUCAGAAAGCCACGGCUAACUACGUG
rnacentral:rRNA from 1 species